AUUGUACUCCCUCCGUCCGGAAAUACUUGUUAUAGAAAUGGAUGUAUCUAGAUGUAUUUUAGUUUUAGAUACAUUCAUUUUUAUAUAUUUGUGUGAUAAGUAAUUCUGGAUUCGGAGAGAGUACUAA
rfam:Hordeum vulgare subsp. vulgare, WGS project CAJW01000000 data, contig: morex_contig_7043